CUCUGUCAACUGCUGUCCUCACACUGCUGCCGGGGACAUCUGCUUCUACAGAGAACACACAGCUUCAGCUGUGGUUGCUCCAAUGCACUCUUGGGCUCCAUGCAGAAAGCAGAGUAGGGUGUCUGGCUCCACCCAGGCUGAUCCAGCUCCAUGCUGCUGAUGUUUGGAGGAGGUCUGCAGUCCUGGAAGGCCCAGCUGAGAAUGAAUUGCUCAGUCCCAGGAUCAGCCCUGGAUCCUUCACUCACCAGGAGAACAGAAGGACAGCUCACUAUGGACUUGGUGAAAAUCCAACCUCAGCCCUUCAAACCUUGCAGCUGAGAGCCAGGUCCCCUCUGUCUUGUGUGUCCUGUGUCCAGCAGAGGAUGAGCCAUGGGUCGCCGGGUACUGGAAGAAGCCAGCUUCUCUCUGGUCAAGCUGGCCAUCCUAGUGGCCGUUUUGAGCUGUGGCCUACCCUUUUUGGCGUGUGAUGAGAUUUUCUGAAGAGACCAUCAGUUGGGAGGGCCUGUGGGUCCUGUGUGAGGCUAACGGACUCAAGAGCCUGAGGUGUAUGUCGUACAGUUCACACCUGGUACAAUCACAGGACCUGCAGGUGUCUUGUUUUCUGGUGGUCAUCUGCAUCAUCAUCACCUGGCUGGGUUUGGUGCUGUACAAGACCAGGGAUGAACCGAUAUCAUGGAUCCCAAAUAUGAAUAAUGAAGAACAGAUCAAGAUGCUAGCAAGUAGUUUGUUCCUGGGGGCUGGUCUGCUGCUGCUGGUGUCUGUGUCUUGGGUAACACACAAUGUCAUCCUUGCCAUCACCAACCCUCAAAUGGUCUUCCCAUGGAAACCAGAGAUGGGAUUCUCACUCUACCUGGGCUGGGUCAGCUCCCUGCUGCUUCUGCUGGGAGGGGCCCUUCUGGGAGGGGCCCUGCUAUGGUGCCCGGCCCCAAAUAACAAUGAACAGCCCUUUCCCACCAGUGAGGGAUCCUGCAAUGUCCAGCUCACUCAAUCUGAGUGCUCCCAGGAAGGGUCUCUUCCGGGAACAACCAUGUAUAAGCUGGGCCAAUCUGUGUUUUGGAUUUCUCAAUCUGUAGACAGCUCAGACCACCUUGUGACUUACUCUCUAGCAGUUACCCCUCUGACUGGAACACCUUUGGCCUGAUGGAAGAAGGGGAACCAGGAAGCUCUAAGCCUCCAGUGCCCUCCUCAGCCUCAGAGAACUACUCCUGGGGAUACAAAAGGAGACAAAAUUCCUCCAUGGACCUGGCUGCAAACUGGCCCAGGGGUCCUCCUGGAUGCAGCUGUCAUGAGUCAGCACAAUGUUGUGGUGCAUUUCCUGUGGAUGCAGCUGAUGAGUCAACCAUGAACAUGGGACCCCAAUAAAGUCACUGGUCCCCUGA